rnacentral:rRNA from 1 species
GACAGAGGAUGCAAGCGUUAUCCGGAAUGAUUGGGCGUAAAGCGUCUGUAGGUGGCUUUUUAAGUCCGCCGUCAAAUCCCAGGGCUCAACCCUGGACAGGCGGUGGAAACUACCAAGCUGGAGUACGGUAGGGGCAGAGGGAAUUCCGGUGGAGCGGUGAAUGACGUAGAGAUACGGCGAAAGAACACCAACGGCGAAAGCACUCUGCUGGGCCGACACUGACACUGAGAGACGAAAGCUAGGGGAGCGAAUGGG